GCAAGUCGAACGUGAAGCUUUUCUUCGGAGAAGUGGAAAGUGGCGAACGGGUGAGUAACGCGUAGACAACCUGCCCUUCAGUGGGGAAUAGCCCCGGGAAACUGGGAUUAAUACCGCAUGACGCAGUUUUGCCGCAUGGUAGAACUGUUAAAGAUUUAUUGCUGGGGGAUGGGUCUGCGUGACAUUAGGUAGUUGGUGAGGUAACGGCUCACCAAGCCGACGAUGUCUAGCUGGUCUGAGAGGAUGAUC
rnacentral:rRNA from 1 species